CUCCACCAUGGCUCAUCCCUCCGGUGUGCCACCCCACUCUCAAAAACAUCACAUCCCUCUUCUAUCUUGCCUACCAUCCUCCAAAGUAUCGACCCUCCCUUGUUGCGUUGUUGAAACACCGUCGGCGCCUUCCCUGUCCUCCUUGUAUCUAGAUCUAGUACCGAAGGUAAUCGCUCAUGGCCAGAUCUGGUCUCCAUGUCAUCCCCACAUUUAGAUCUGGUCUCAUCGGCAAUAGAGGAUACAUUCAUCCUCUUGAUGGCUAGAUUUGGUCUUCAUGUCAUCCCCAUGUUCAGAUCUGGUCUCAUCGACAACAGGGGAUGCCUUCAUCCUCUCGAUGGCUAGAUCUAGGUGCUCGUCCUUUUCCCCAUCACCACUGUGGUCAGGUUCAAGCAUCUUUCUACCAUUGUUCACGUUAUCUAAUUCAGUUUCUCAUUCUUCCUUGGUUCCAUGGUCAGAUCUGAUCUCUCAUCAUUCCACGGGCAGGUCCGGUCUUCAAUCCUUCCUUCGUUGUCUUAGCGGACAGAUGUGGAAACAACACCGACAAUCAAUGGUAUGUUUAUAUAUUUGCUUUGUUCUUAUUUUGUAAUGUUUGCUUAAAAAUUUGGGCCAUUCCAUUCUUUCUUCUCAUGUGGGAGCCAGGACAGCUAGAUAGCUUGGGCAAAUUACAAAGGAUCCCGGCGAUAAGCAUUUGCCAUGAAAAUUGUUCAUUACUUUCCUGUUUCUUGCUUAUAGCUCGCCUCGAGGAACAAUUCAACACAUGAAAAGUACCCUCCUUCACAUUAUCUUUUUUUUUUGCGAGGAACCCUCCCUCACAUUAUCAAC
rnacentral:lncRNA from 1 species